rnacentral:lncRNA from 1 species
CCCAAAAUAGGUUCACACAACCCAUUCUGAGUCGCCAAAUACAUGGUACAAAAAUCAAAUACAACUUCAUUUAUACAACUAUUAACUGUCGUGAAAAAAUACGACAAAGCAUAAGCUGUGAGUUUUAAUACAAAUAUUGUCUCGUAGCCAAUAUCUAAACUCAAAUAAAGUCCUCAUUAUAAUUAUUAUCACACUAUUUUAUAAAAUAGUGAGGACUACUAUAACAACCAUGUUGGACCAUCACUCUAUUCCCUGACUAGUCCCAGCUAUAUUCUCAUUUUCUGAAGAAAUUAAUGAAAGAAAAGGGUGAGUUCAACUACCCUAGUAAAGAAUAUUAUGACUAAGAUAAUGCAUAAUACAUUAUCUUUAAUCCUCAAUAGAGAAAAAUCUGAUAGAAUACAAUAGAAAACAAAUUUUAGAUCAACAACUGCAGCGAAAAUAACAAUCCAUUAGAAGAGUCAAGUAGAGCAUGAUGUCUACUAUCUUCUAUGAUUUAAAAGUCCACCAUCAAUAUUUUAUCUCUGUAACACCAAUCAAUAGAUAUUUCAAAUCAACAAAUUAUCCAUGCACUACGGGCCAAGGAUAUUCGUUUGUAUCACCAGUGGUCAUGAUCAUGCCAAACACCUGUUCAUCUAUGCACUACGGGCCAAAGAGGACUUUCACCACAACAUUUGUCUGUAACAUUACAGGUCAUGAUUAUACCAAUACAUAAUUCCUAGUCAUAAUCAUACCAAUCAAUAGUCCAUCUUUGUACUACGAGUUAAAGAUGAAUUUCAUCACAAUAUAAGCAUGGGGAUGAUGACAAUGAUAUAAAGAAUCAAUCAAGUGAGAUCAAGGAUAAAUAUUAGAUAUUUAUAAUUCAAUUCAUUCAGAGUUCAAGAAUAUCCAAAUUGUCAACAUGAUAACAAAUUUUCGUACAACUUUUUAUUUUUGCCUAAUGGAUACAAAUAAUCUAGUAAGAGCUUCAGGGGAAAUAAUUUAGCAUGAAAUCAAUCAAUAACACUAUAAGAGUGGGAAACAUAUAACCUAUGAUACAAAUCACUAUGGCAGCGGCUAAAGCUUUCAUGGACUAGUGACUAAACUCUGAACUAAAGAUCAAAUUUGUUGGCAAAAGCAUCCACACAAGUGCCUCAUAGCUCCUAAGUAAAAUUUCAGCCAUUUUAAUUUAGAGUGGACAAAUGUUCUACUUUUUAAUUACUAUCAUAGUGCUUGCAACCAAAACAUAUUAAUGCAACAAUCUUUAGAUUGGAAAACUCAAAAUCUAUAGCACUCAAAGGCAUUACGAAAUUGACAUAGUCCAACACAAACUAACUUAAAAAUCCCACAAACUCAGUCCAAAUUCAAUAAUUCACCAAACAAUGUUUAUUAUCACACAUAUCAGACACCUAGUACAAUAAGAAUGCAUUUAAUUUAAAAGCAUUUCACAAAAAAUAAUUUUUUAAAACAUUUUGAGUGAGAACUUGAUAACACUAACUUUUAUUAACAUAAAAAAUGCAUAACAAACUAACCCUUCUUUAAAGCUCAUCAUCCAUCCUCAAAUACUCCCCAAUAUCAGCGCGGUGAAUGUACCACAAUCUCAUUUGGGGUUCAUUAUCCUAUAGUCCCAUUUGGGUCCAUUUUCCUACAAUCCCAUUUGGGUCCAUUAGAAAAAUAUUUCUUAAUAAAAUUUGUGCCAAUGGGUUAAAAAAAACAUAUUUUGUGCCAAUGGGUAAAAAAACACUGUGAAUUCCCAAAUUUAUACACACAAAAAAAAGGCAAAGACAAGGUCGAAAUUCACCUCCAAAAAAUGCAUAUUCAUUCUUUUACUUCAUCAUCUUCAUCAACAAAUUAUACUAAUAAAGGAUUAACAUUCACAUGCAUUUUCCUAACAAACUUGUUAUCAAGAAAACAAUCUGCAGAAAUCAUGCAUCUUAAUCCUCUAUCUAUAACAAAUGAAAAGCUUUGAUUUUGUUAUUUUUAGAGUCUAAUAUAUAAAUCAAAGCAUUCACGUUCAAAAUUCCCAACUAAACAUGUACUUUUUCAUAUUUAACAACCCACUUUAAUUUACUAUACUUAUUAAAUUUAUUCAUAACAUUAUACAGUAAUUAUAGUUAAUAUAUUAAGUAAUAGGUAUUUUAUUAAUUUAUUCCUAUAUUACAUGAGCUAACUAUCAAAAUGACCAAAACAAAUCCAAAACAUUCAACAAACCACGCCUGGGUAGCCGCUGCAGUGCACUGUAGUAGGCAGCGCACGACUGCUAUUGCAGCUGCCUGCAGCAGCUGUGCAGUUUUGCUCCAGCUUCAUGCUCAAAUUGCCUACUUUACCAUUUUCUAGAUUACAAACCGUAAAUCUGAUCAAGGCAAACUUUUAGGAUGUUGUAAAGAGUUUAUCAAACUAUUUUUAAAAAAUACUAACCAACUAAAUCAAACCUCCUAGACCAGUUUUUUUCAUGGCUUCAAACUAGCCUGCUAGGUACUUUUUUUUAUCCGAGUUACACAUACAAGUUUCUUGAAAACAGACUUUAAACUCAAAUUACCUUUCUCAAUUUACUUGAAUUACUUCAUUAAACAAGUAUAAAGAGUUUCUAUAGAACCAACUUUGCUAAAUCCUUGCAAAUCUACCCGACAGUCUCUAAGGAGCCUUAAAUCAAACGCCUCAUACGCUUUACAUUUAGGAACAUAGUUUAUAUCUAUUUAUAUACAAGUUUAGCCCAAAAUUUACUCCCUUAUUGCUUUGCACAACAACUAUUCUCCUUUUCACUAAAUCUCAAUUACCACAGCAAUAACAUACUCAAUUUUUUCAUAAAAAAGUCAAACUUUGCUUCAAAAAUUAAGAUUUAGAACUUACCUCGCUAUAGUGUUCAAUGGAAUGAAUACAAUAUUUAUAGUUUAGUUAUUUCCCCCCUCUUUGCUGCCUCUGCUUUUUGAAGUCAAUUCCAGCCCAGCUCACACCUUAAUUCUCUUGCCCAAUUCCUUAAUGUAGCCAAACAAGCCAAGCCUUGAUGACCCUUUCUGGGGAGUUUUUGAAAAAGUGAAAAGGAAUGCAAUGGAAUGGUUGAAGUACUAAGGAUAAGAGGAACUUGAUAAUGACCAUGUUACAUUCUAAUUUCAUUUAAAAUGGUUGAUUAUAAUAGCCUGCUGAGUGCUGACUCCUUAAUCUAUUGACAGCUCAAGCUUAUCCCCUAAUUCAGCCACCUCCUAUUUGCUUAGCUCAAUGACUCAUACUCACUAUUUAGCAUUUCCCUGUAUUUAUCUAAAUCCGGAUAAUCAAUCCCAA